ACGGUCAGACGUGAGUGUCUCAUCCGAUUGGAAGUACCACUCUUGCUAACACCGUAUUCGAUUAGUUUAAAGCUUUUAAUCUGAUGGUUUAAUGGUUUGACAAAAAAAACUCUAAACAUAUUCUACCAGUCAUGCGCAGGGUAUUUUGAAUUAAUUUUUAAAUUUCUCAUCCAAGUGAAAUAAAGAAGGUGAAACUGGUAAAACUAGAGUACAAUCAGCUUUCUCAUAGUCCUUGUUGGACUUUGCAUCCUUGGUGUUCUAGUAGAAACUACGAAAUUACUGAGGAUUGAUUUUACCGACCGACAGAAUGGCGUUGAUUACAGCAGCAAUAGUUUUUACAUCCGCUACACUGCUGCAUCAAGUAAAAACAGGAAUUCUAUUUGGACGUUUCUUUCCUUGCCCUUCAUGAUAUAUUGCAAUUUCAUGCAUUAAGUGGACUGCAAAAAUAAAAAAACAGGUAUUUCUAGGAGAAAGUAUGUUGACAUCUUGGGCGGUUUCACGAAUCCCAUUCCCAUGUUUUCGCAUGUACAAAUAAUCAAUGGCAAAUGUGACAGAAAGCGGACUUGCGAAUCUGCUCAUCCACCCUUUUCUCUUCACUAUUCCCUAUUUUCUGCAUAAAAUUUACAUCGAUCCGUAAUCGGAACGUAUAUACCCAGUAGUAAAUACUUUCACCAAACUAGACCAGACAGAGAUACGGUCUCCCGACUUUCACAGACUAAUGGUGCUUUAUCUUAAAUCAACCAAAAUAUAAUUUCAAUUUCAAUGGGAACGCUGUUUAUUUGCCAUAAAAGGUUGUUCUCUUAAUUUCAUGCCAAAAUAGCUUCGUUAAGACCGAGCUCUCUCCAGGCCAUGCCAAUCUACUAGCUACAGCGUAUCAUUUUACCUCAAUGUUUUGGUUUGAUGUUUUUUUUAUGCAUUCUAAAUUAGCAUAAAAUAGGAAGAAAUGCAUAAUUUAAAUUGUAAUUUUUAGGGGCUGUGUAAGUGUGUAUUUAUGAUGCGCAACGAAUGACAUAUAGGUUUCCAGAACUUAAAAGUAAAUUUUUUUUGCAAGCUCACAGACAAAACGAUAAAAACACAAAAGUCCUCAUUAAAUAUGUUUUUCAUU